rnacentral:misc_RNA from 1 species
UGCUGCUCCUUGAUUUCACAUAAACAACUGAGUGCCUUCUGCUCUUUUUGGUCUUCUCUUUCUGUGUCUAUUGCUCUCCUGCCCACUCACCACUCACAUUCUCUUUAUCGAAUCCUAUCAAAUCUUUCUAUUUUUUCAUUAGCAUUAUAAAUAAUGGUCUUUCUCGCUAUGGCUCCAUUUAAAGUAUUUGAACAGAUAAAAAUAUUUAAACAGAUAAAAAAGAAUUCAAACAAUCCCGCCUAAUGGUGACUCUCUCUGUCAU